rnacentral:tRNA from 1 species
GCGCCCAUGGCUCAAUUGGAUAGAGCGCCAGUCUACGGAACUGGAUAUUGGAGGUUCGAGUCCUCCUGGGCGCA